rnacentral:rRNA from 1 species
GAUGAACGCUGGCGGCGUGCCUAAUACAUGCAAGUCGAGCGAACAGAUGAGGAGCUUGCUCCUCUGACGUUAGCGGCGGACGGGUGAGUAACACGUGGAUAACCUACCUAUAAGACUGGGAUAACUUCGGGAAACCGGAGCUAAUACCGGAUAAUAUAUUGAACCGCAUGGUUCAAUAGUGAAAGACGGUUUUGCUGUCACUUAUAGAUGGAUCCGCGCCGCAUUAGCUAGUUGGUAAGGUAACGGCUUACCAAGGCAACGAUGCGUAGCCGACCUGAGAGGGUGAUCGGCCACACUGGAACUGAGACACGGUCCAGACCCCUACGGGAGGCAGCAGUAGGGAAUCUUCCGCAACGGGCGAAAGCCUGACGGAGCAACGCCGCGUGAGUGAUGAAGGUCUUCGGAUCGUAAAACUCUGUUAUUAGGGAAGAACAAAUGUGUAAGUAACUAUGCACGUCUUGACGGUACCUAAUCAGAAAGCCACGGCUAACUACGUG